AGAGUUUGAUCCUGGCUCAGGACGAACGCUGGCGGUGCGCUUAAUGCAUGCAAGUCGAACGGGCAAAGGGGCUUCGGCCUCGGCGCUAGUGGCAGACGGCUGAGUAACACGUAAGUGAUCUGCCCCGGAGAGGGGGAUAACCCGGAGAAAUCCGGCCUAAUACCCCAUACGUUCAGGUGGCUACGGCCAUGUGAAGAAAGGUUUACGUCGCUCUGGGAGGAGCUUGCGGCCUAUCAGGUAGUUGGUGGGGUAAAGGCCUACCAAGCCGAAGACGGGUAACCGAUGUGAGAGCAUGAUCGGUCAGAGGGGGACUGAGACACGGCCCCCACUCCUACGGGAGGCAGCAGCAGGGAAUCUUGCGCAAUGGGCGAAAGCCUGACGCAGCGACACCGCGUGGGGGAAGAAGGCCUCAGGGUUGUAAACCCCUUUUCUGUGGGAAGAGAUAGGACGGUACCACAGGAAUAAGCAUCGGCUAACUACGUGCCAGCAGCCGCGGUAAUACGUAGGAUGCAAGCGUUGUCCGGAUUUACUGGGCGUAAAGGGUGUGUAGGCGGCAUGGUAAGUCUCAUGUGAAAUCUCCCGGCUCAACUGGGAGGGGUCAUGGGAAACUGCCAAGCUUGAGGGCAGCAGAGGAAAGCGGAAUUCCGGGAGUAGUGGUGGAAUGCGUAGAUACCCGGAGGAACACCAGAGGCGAAGGCGGCUUUCUGGGCUGUGCCUGACGCUGAUACACGAAAGCGUGGGGAGCAAACCGGAUUAGAUACCCGGGUAGUCCACGCCCUAAACGAUGGAUACUAGAUAUAGGGGGUAUCGACCCCUCCUGCGUCGGAGUUAACGCGAUAAGUAUCCCGCCUGGGGAGUACGGCCGCAAGGCUAAAACUCAAAGGAAUUGACGGGUCCCCGCACAAGCGGCGGAGCGUGUGGUUUAAUUCGAUGAUAAGCGAAGAACCUUACCUGGGCUUGACAUGCAUUUGACAACCCAUGAAAAUGGGCUUUCCUUCGGGACAGAUGCACAGAUGUUGCAUGGCUGUCGUCAGCUCGUG
rnacentral:rRNA from 1 species